rnacentral:rRNA from 1 species
GACGAACGCUGGCGGCGUGCUUAACACAUGCAAGUCGAACGGAAAGGCCCUGCUUUUGUGGGGUGCUCGAGUGGCGAACGGGUGAGUAACACGUGAGUACCCUGCCCUUGCCUUUGGGAUAACUUCAGGCAACUGGGGCUAAUACCGGAUAGGAGCUCCUGCUGCCUGGUGGGGGUUGGAAAGUUUCGGCGGUUGGGGGUGGACUCGCGGCUUAUCAGCUUGUUGGUGGGGUAGUGGCUUACCAAGGCUUUGACGGGUAGCCGGCCUGAGAGGGUGACCGGCCACGUUGGGACUGGGAUACGGCCCAGACUCCUCCGCGAGGCAGCGGUGCGGAAUAUUGCACUAUGGGCGGAGGCCUGAUGCAGCCACGCCGCGUGCGGUAUGACGGCCUUCGGUUUGUAAUCCGCUUUCGCCUGUGACGAAACGUGAGUGACAGUAAUGGGUAAAGAAGCACCGGCUAACUACGUG